GACGAACGCUGGCGGCGUGCUUAACACAUGCAAGUCGAGCGGUAAGGCCCUUUCGGGGGUACACGAGCGGCGAACGGGUGAGUAACACGUGGGUGACCUGCCCUUAGCUCUGGGAUAAGCCUGGGAAACUGGGUCUAAUACCGGAUAUGACUCCAUGACGCAUGUUGUGGGGUGGAAAGCCUUGUGCGGCUAGGGAUGGGCCCGCGGCCUAUCAGCUUGUUGGUGGGGUGAUGGCCUACCAAGGCGACGACGGGUAGCCGGCCUGAGAGGGCGACCGGCCACACUGGGACUGAGACACGGCCCAGACUCCUACGGGAGGCAGCAGUGGGGAAUCUUGCGCAAUGGCCGAAAGGCUGACGCAGCGACGCCGCGUGGGGAGGAAGGCCUU
rnacentral:rRNA from 1 species